rnacentral:rRNA from 1 species
UUAACCUACCUAUAACUGGGGGAUAGCCCGCCGAAAGGCGGAUUAAUACCGCAUAAGCUGUUUGAGUGGCAUCACUUGAUUAGUAAAGAUUUAUUGGUUAUAGAUGGGGUUGCGGGUCAUUAGCUAGUUGGUUGGGUAACGGCUGACCAAGGCGACGAUGACUAGGGGAGCUGAGAGGCUGGUCCCCCACACGGGCACUGAGAUACGGGCCCGACUCCUACGGGAGGCAGCAGUAGGGAAUAUUGGGCAAUGGGCGAGAGCCUGACCCAGCCAUGCCGCGUGCAGGAAGAAGGCUUUCUGAGUCGUAAACUGCUUUUGACAGGGAAGAAUAAGGACUACGUGUAGUCUGAUGACGGUACCUGCAGAAUAAGCACCGGCUAACUCCGUGCCAGCAGCCGCGGUAAUACGGAGGGUGCGAGCGUUUGUCCGGAUUUAUUGGGUUUAAAGGGUGCGUAGGCGGCCGUUUAAGUCUGGGGUGAAAGCCCCGCUGCUCAACAGCGGAACUGCCCUGGAUACUGGAUGGCUUGAGUACAGACGAGGUUUGGCGGAAUGGACAGAGUUAGC